rfam:Pyronema omphalodes CBS 100304, CBS100304, WGS project CATG01000000 data, contig: Pcon_v1_contig380
GCCUCGCUAGCUCAAUGGCUAGAGCGUGAGACUUUUAAUCUCAAGGUUGCGGGUUCGACCCCCGCGUGAGGCU